UUGCGCUGGGUAAGUCCUAUACGGCCAGCUCCUAUUGAACUCCCCCAGGGCUUGAUCGCAGCAAGGGUAGAUGGUUGUAGCGGCGCGAUGUAGUAAGCUUACCCGCCU
rfam:Porphyromonas sp. COT-108_OH1349 contig_34, whole genome shotgun sequence.